UACGUAGGGGGCGAGCGUUGUCCGGAAUUAUUGGGCGUAAAGGGCACGCAGGCGGUCUAUCAAGCAGGAUGUGAAAGGCAGGAGCUCAACUCCUUGCACGGCAACCUGAACUGACAGACUAGAGUAUUGGAGAGGCAGGCAGAAUUCCUGGUGUAGCGGUGAAAUGCGCAGAUAUCGGAAGGAACACCAGUGGCGAAGGCGGCGCCCUGGGGUGGGCCUGACGCUAAGAGACGAAAGCUAGGGGAGCGAACAGGAUUA
rnacentral:rRNA from 1 species